rnacentral:rRNA from 1 species
GACAGCCAGGAUGUUGGCUUAGAAGCAGCCAUCAUUUAAAGAAAGCGUAAUAGCUCACUGGUCGAGUCGGCCUGCGCGGAAGAUGUAACGGGGCUAAACCAUGCACCGAAGCUGCGGCAGCGACACUGUGUGUUGUUGGGUAGGGGAGCGUUCUGUAAGCCUGCGAAGGUGUGCUGUGAGGCAUGCUGGAGGUAUCAGAAGUGCGAAUGCUGACAUAAGUAACGAUAAAGCGGGUGAAAAGCCCGCUCGCCGGAAGAC